GAUGAACGCUAGCGGCAGGCCUAACACAUGCAAGUCGAGGGGCAGCACGUCUUCGGAUGGUGGCGACCGGCGCACGGGUGCGUAACGCGUAUGCAACCUACCUCUUACAGUGGGAUAGCCCAGAGAAAUUUGGAUUAAUACCGCAUAGUAUACAGAUUCAGCAUUGGGACUGUAUUAAACAUUUAUGGGUAAGAGAUGGGCAUGCGUUCUAUUAGUUAGUUGGAGUGGUAACGGCACCCCAAGACAGCGAUAGAUAGGGGCCCUGAGAGGGGAUCCCCCACACUGGUACUGAGACACGGACCAGACUCCUACGGGAGCAGGCAGUGAGGAAUAUUGGACAAUGGGCGAGAGCCUGAUCCAGCCAUGCCGCGUGCAGGAAGACGGCCCUAUGGGUUGUAAACUGC
rnacentral:rRNA from 1 species